UACGGGGGGGGCAAGCGUUGUUCGGAAUUACUGGGCGUAAAGGGCUCGUAGGCGGCCAACUAAGUCAGACGUGAAAUCCCCAGGCUCAACCUGGGAACUGCGUCUGAUACUGGAUGGCUUGAAUCCGGGAGAGGGAUGCAGAAUUCCAGGUGUAGCGGUGAAAUGCGUAGAUAUCUGGAGGAACACCGGUGGCGAAGGCGGCGUCCUGGACCAACACUGACGCUCAUGCACGAAAGCGUGGGGAGCAAACAGG
rnacentral:rRNA from 1 species